AUACGGGCGGAGCGAGCGUUGUUCGGAUUCAUUGGGUGUAAAGGGUGCGAAGGCGGUCGUCUAAGUCGGAGGUGAAAUGUCUACGGCUCAACCGAGGCAUUGCCUCCGAUACUGGACGACUUGAGUGCGGAAGGGGAGCGUGGAAUUCCACGUGUAGCAGUGAAAUGCGUAGAGAUGUGGAGGAACACCGAUGGCGAAGGCACGCCCCCUGGGUUGACACUGACGCUCAUGCACGAAAGCGU
rnacentral:rRNA from 1 species